rnacentral:rRNA from 1 species
AUUAAACGCUGGCGGCAUGCCUUACACAUGCAAGUCGAACGGCAGCACGGGGGCAACCCUGGUGGCGAGUGGCGAACGGGUGAGUAAAGCAUCGGAACGUGCCCUGGAGUGGGGGAUAACGUAGCGAAAGUUACGCUAAUACCGCAUAUUCUGUGAGCAGGAAAGCAGGGGAUCGCAAGACCUUGCGCUCUGGGAGCGGCCGAUGUCGGAUUAGCUAGUUGGUGGGGUAAAGGCCUACCAAGGCGACGAUCCGGUAGCGGGUCUGAGAGGAUGAUCCGCCACACUGGGACUGAGACACGGCCCAGACUCCUACGGGAGGCAGCAGUGGGGAAUUUUGGACAAUGGGCGAAAGCCUGAUCCAGCCAUGCCGCGUGAGUGAAGAAGGCCUCGGUUGUAAG